CUGAACCUCUUGAGUCCUGCAGAGCAGUGAGAUGAGCCUCUGCAGCUCCUACUGUCCUGAAGACUGUUCUUAUUACUGCAGUCAGUUACAUAAAUCUAUCUAUCUAUGUAUAAUACAGUACAUUUUAACAUACUGACCUUAUGUUUAUUUAUGUCUUUUAACCAUUAUUUCAAAUUCACAGAAUCCUGUUUGAAACAUUUAAUGAACUUAUAGAAUUAAAUUUCUGCAUGUUGUUUUUUGUUGCAAAAAAAAUCUAGUAUAAUAAUAUUUAAAUUUACAUAUAUUUUUCACGUUUUCAAUGCCAAUUUUGUGUAAUGGCAAAGUUUCCCACUACCCGUGAAUGCCUCUUUUUUAUGUCUCUGGCUGACUCCUUAAUCUCCGCCCAGUCUCUGCUCCAUCCCUGCCGAGUGAGCGAGAUCUUUGGUUUUGCCUUUGCUGACUGCUGAUCUGAUCGUCUCAAGUCUGGUGACCUGCUGCAGAAUACCCUCUCCCUCUAUCAUUAACAAGCAAUUCAGUCUGUCCUAUCACUCUCCCUCUCCCUGCUCCAUCUUUUUGACAAGCCAUUCUAUCUUCUAUCAUUUCUCCGCCAUGAGCUCUAUCUAAGUUGACAAGCUUGAACCUGAGUUGAA
ensembl:lncRNA